GGGGGCGAACCGGUUUCGACGGGGAGCGUGAGCUGCCACUCGCCAUCCGAGGUUGAUCGAAGGGCCUCGUAAAAAAUCGGUCAAAACUUAACUGCCAACGAAAAUCUGGCAUACGCAGCCUAACGCAGGCUACGCGGUUCUCUGAAAGAUUCUGCCGGUAAGCUUUUAGAAGAACCGUCGACACAAACCGGCCUUCCCGAGCAUUGGUGCCGAUGCUGAUGUUUGGAGGAGUAUAAUCAUCGGAUCGGGUUUGCUAAGGGCGUAGCCUCUGCGCGACCUUAACCCUAAAUAAAUGUACAUAGGCUAUGAUGGUAGACAGUGUCUGUGAGCCUUUUCGGACGCGGGUUCGAUUCCCGCCGCCUCCAUUU
rnacentral:tmRNA from 1 species